rnacentral:rRNA from 1 species
GUGAAGUAGUGGCCGGCAGGCGCUGGAAGAGGUAGGUGGCAGGGGAUGUCCGGAUUUACUGGGCGGAAAGAGCGGGCGGGCGGUCGUUCAAUGCGCGGGUGAAAGUCCCCGGGUCAACUGGGGAGGGGCACGCGAUACGGAUCGACUCGAAGGCAGGAGAGGGAAGUGGAAUUCCCGGUGUAGUGGUGAAAUGCGUAGAUAUCGGGAGGAACACCAGUGGCGAAGGCGACUUCCUGGCCUGUUCUUGACGCUGAGGCGCGAAAGCUAGGGGAGCAAACGGGAUUAGAUACCCGUGUAGUC